rnacentral:lncRNA from 1 species
AAACAUUUCUGAUAUGUGAACAAAUUCCAAAUCCAUUUACACAUCUAAUCAGGACAGUCAUGACAAAUCUAAAGGUUUCAUCUUCAAUCUCAAAUUCAUAACUUGUUAAUCUAUGAUCGGGUUUAAUGAUUAUUUGUGUUUAAAUUAUUUGUUCUAAUUGUCUUAUUUACAAAUUUAAAUCAUGUUGUUAUCUGGGAUUUUUCAAAUCUAUCAAAGUAUUAGAUUUUGAUUUUAGUUUUCAUUAAAAUUGAGGUAAUCUUUGUAUCAAACAUAUAUCUCCUAUUGAGAUCAGUUUAAUUUUUAGAUCUCCUAUUUAAACAUAUUCCAGAAAAUAUAUAUAUGUUUUAAGAUAUUUAAAACUCAAUUUGAACCAUUUUAUUUCAUUUCUUUUCUUUUUAUUUUUAAUCUUGAUUAUUAAAUAUUUUUAAGGUAUCAUUGGCUGCUUCAGAUCAGAUCCGGAUACCCACGGAUAUUGGUGGAUCCAAGGGAUACAAAAUACUAGCCAAGAUAAGUUGAUACAUGCCCAUCUCUACUAUAUCUAAUGGUUUCAGACCUGAAAUGUAAUAUGAGUUUAAUCUUUUAUAUAUAUGUUUUGCCAAUCAGUACGUCAUCUUGCUAUUAUCACUUUCAUUACAAAAACAAUUGGCUAAAAAAACUUUUUCA